UACGUAGGGACCAAGCGUUGUUCGGAUUUACUGGGCGUAAAGGGCGCGUAGGCGGCUUAACAAGUCACUUGUGAAAUCUCCGGGCUUAACUCGGAACGGUCAAGUGAUACUGUCGUGCUAGAGUACAGAAGGGGCAACUGGAAUUCUCGGUGUAGCGGUGAAAUGCGUAGAUAUCGAGAGGAACACCUGCGGCGAAGGCGGGUUGCUGGGCUGAUACUGACGCUGAGGCGCGAAAGCUAGGGGAGCGAACGGG
rnacentral:rRNA from 1 species